rnacentral:rRNA from 1 species
GACGACGGGUAGCCGGCCUGAGAGGGCGACCGGCCACACUGGGACUGAAACACGGCCCAGACUCCUACGGGAGGCAGCAGUGGGGAAUAUUGCACAAUGGGCGAAAGCCUGAUGCAGCGACGCCGCGUGAGGGAUGACGGCCUUCGGGUUGUAAACCUCUUUCAGCAGGGAAGAAGCGAAAGUGACGGUACCUGCAGAAGAAGCGCCGGCUAACUACGUGCCAGCAGCCGCGGUAAUACGUAGGGCGCGAGCGUUGUCCGGAAUUAUUGGGCGUAAAGAGCUCGUAGGCGGCUUGUCACGUCGGUUGUGAAAGCCCGGGGCUUAACCCCGGGUCUGCAGUCGAUACGGGCAGGCUAGAGUUCGGUAGGGGAGAUCGGAAUUCCUGGUGUAGCGGUGAAAUGCGCAGAUAUCAGGAGGAACACCGGUGGCGAAGGCGGAUCUCUGGGCCGAUACUGACGCUGAGGAGCGAAAGCGUGGGGAGCGAACAGGAUUAGAUACCCUGGUAGUCCACGCCGUAAACGGUGGGCACUAGGUGUGGGCGACAUUCCACGUCGUCCGUGCCGCAGCUAACGCAUUAAGUGCCCCGCCUGGGGAGUACGGCCGCAAGGCUAAAACUCAAAGGAAUUGACGGGGGCCCGCACAAGCGGCGGAGCAUGUGGCUUAAUUCGACGCAACGCGAAGAACCUUACCAAGGCUUGACAUACACCGGAAAGCAUCAGAGAUGGUGCCCCCCUUGUGGUCGGUGUACAGGUGGUGCAUGGCUGUCGUCAG